rnacentral:lncRNA from 1 species
UUGGUUUGGAAGAGAAAUUGGAAAGAGAGAAAUAGGCAAGAGAGAGUUUGAGAAGAGAGAAAAAGAUGAGAAAUAGAGAAGAUUUGAUGUAUUGUUUGGUAUAAGAGAAAGAAGAGAGAAAUAGAAGAGAAAGAAAUGUUAUUAUUUUUAAAAAGACAAAAAUAUCCUUAAUAAGACAACAUUAUAAUUUAUGAUUAAUUAAAAAAUCAAUGGCAUAUUAGACAUUUUUGUCUUCUUCCCUCUUUCUUCUCACUUUUGAAGAGAAAACAAAAAGGUAUGGGACCCACCAUUUAUUCUUCUCUCUUCUCAAUUUCUCUUCUUACCAAACAAGAGAAAUCUCCAACUUCUCUUCUCUUUCUCUCUUCUCUAUCUCUCUCUCCUCUAUUUCUCUCAAAC